ensembl:lncRNA
CACAGCACCAGCAGAAUUCCUCACUGGAGGGGGCAAAGGGAGUAAAUCUGCAGUGCCAGGCUCAUGCUACCCAUGUUCCAGGAAUAGGAGGUGGCUACCAAGCACAGGGCUUUUGUGCAGCACAUGCAAAAUAAAAGGAGAGCUCUGCAAACAUGCAACGAGCCAACAUUAGUUUCAGUCACAGAGGAUAAGGAGCACUCACCAAUCUGUGAGCAGGCUGGGCGGGUGACAUGCACCACUUGAAGAACAGAAGGAAAACAACCUUCAAGCAUCUUCAGUGAGAAAAAUGUUUUUUAUGUUCUUUCUCUUCAGGGCAUUCAAAUAGCAGGCAGGACAAUAGUAGCUUGUGAAACUAUCUACGAAGUGAAUAUGGAUUUCUCUAUGUAAGCCCUUAAAAUAGUGCCUGAAUCUGAAGUAAAACCAGAAGUCACAAACUAUAACCUUUGGACCCAAUUAUUGCAUUCUAUCAUAUGCCAUGUCUAGUACGAAAAAGAGAGAGAAUACGAGAAAAAGAAAGUAUUCCUUUCAACUAGUGGCUCUACAAACACGGAUCAAACUGCUGAGGGUAUUUUCAACACAGUAAGAAAUGCGAAGCUUGUGUGGCACC